rnacentral:lncRNA from 1 species
CUCCGAGUGUCGGUCGUCCGACCGACCGUAUUAUUACUAUAUAUUAUAGUAAAAUAGAAAUACUAUUUUGAUUACAUUUGCAUUUUCUCCCAUUGGCUUUGAUUCUACACGCAGACUACUAUCUUAGCUACGAAAUACACAGAAAAUGUAAGCUUUAUUUCAUAUUUUCAGUAAUAAAUGCAUUUUUUUACAACGCCGCUUUUAGAUUCUGAGUGCACCAAAGAAGCUAUAAUUAGUUUUACUAAUACGAGCGUUUUUUCGGUAAGUAAAAAUCGCAGUUAUAUAUUAGGGCUAUUACCAAACUUCAAACUAUUAUCAUAGUUUGAAACUUCAAACCUCGCAAAUCUAAAAUUUGUUCUAAUACAUAUAAAAAUAAGGUAUAUACAGUUUCAUUACGAUUAGUUAACCUUAAUACGUGCCCAAAAAAGGUUGAAUAUUUGAAUUUGGGGGUAGUUUUACAAUUUGUUGUAUUUAUCUAUUAUUGUAUUCUACAUGCGUUAAAAGUACAAAGAACAUUAAUUAUUAAUAAUUUCAGUUCCUAUACAAACCGCGUUUUUACGAAAUUCAUUAGUAAUUUCUUAAAAUAACGUGUGCUGUACCAAACUAUUAUUGUGCUGUGAAUUUAAUGUUUGUUUAUUUAUUUAUUUAAUGUCAAUUUAUUCACUUGUACCUCCUACUAAGAGUUUAGGGUAUUUUUUAAAGGCAAUAAGACUCUCCAGACUUUAAAAAUAAAGGACCAACAUCCUAAAUCUCUAAUACUCUCCUUUGAUAAUGUAAUAAAUAAUCGAGUGUCAAAAUAUUCAGAACUAAAAUAAAACCGUCACGACUACUCAAGUUUGGUUUUUCGAGACGAUAAGAUGUUAUAUUAACUUAUUUUUAUCACCCAUUGAUGCAAAUUUUGUUACAUUGAUGUUUAUCCGUCGAAUGCGCUGUCUGUAGACCGAACUUAAAUAUUAUAUUUUAUAUUACACGUCGUGUCAAUCCUAUGAAUUCCGAGCUAUACAUCUUUAGUCCCAGGCAAGAAGGCCUUAUGUCAAUUUCCAAUAGUUUUGGAUACAGGUAAAUUCGAUUUUGAAUAUUGCUUUAUAGCUAUAUAAUAAAUAUGACAUCCCUCUUUUAGUAUGAAAUAAAAAAUAUAUCAUAGUGACUCCAGUUAUUUUAUAUUCAGUAUAACAUAACGUCACUAGACGUCAGUAAAGACACUUAGUUUAAACAAAAAAUUAAAGGGAAAAAAUUAUAUAGAACAAAAUAAUAAAAAAAAUUCCUAAAAUUGACUUAAAUUCUUCUUCCUUGGGAUCAAAAAUAUAAAACACCGAGAUGGACUUAUCUGUGUGUAUAAUUAAUUCUACACCUGAUCUACGGAAUGUAUAUUAUCGUGCCAUUGUAUCGACUGAACAAGUCUAUACAUUUGGAAACGAUAAUUUAUUAUAAUAAAUAAAGUUCAUUGCAUUGAAAAAGAAACCCAAUAUUAAUAAAAUGUCUUUUAGAGUGUUAAUUUGGAACAGAAUGCACUGAGAGUGACCGUGUUCUAAUGAAAUAUGAUAAUGACAACGCGAAUGACAAGUUAAUACAUUUUGAAUGACCCACUACUUGGUCGUUUGCUGCAAUCGUCAAUUUAUGACUAAAAAAAUAAAACAGGUAUUUAAUUCAAUUUAUAUUCAUUCCAUGUUCGUAUUAUUCCCACCAAUAUCACCCUGUAUGAAAUGCGCAAUAUCUAUUAGACGAUUUAUUUUUAUAAUUUAUGUCGAUGUUUUUUUUUCUUUAUGGUAAGUACUUGCGACCAUAUCAUUCGGAAAUUGGGUACUUAAAAAUGGAAAUUUCGUUAAUGUAGGUAUUUUAAUGAUAUUUUAACAGGCGACGUGUGUGGUUUUUUUACAAUUCUAUAAAUAUCGUUGUAUAGAUCAGACAGGUUAAAUCCGUUAUGGCGAAAAACCAGCUGUCGAGAGAAAAAAAUAAAUAGGUAAUAAAAAAAACCAUAGUCUAACCCUCACGAAAAUAUUGAUUGUUAUAUUAUUAUUACUUCUCCGGGCAAACAGUAGUAUAUUUCCGCGACGAUAUAAACGCAAUUUAAUAUUACUCUGCACGUAAAGUGUACUCGGCGUUUUAUACUACAACUGCUGCCGCCUCCAUAAGAUCGUAAAAAAACCAUGUCUGGUGGUUCAACAUAUAUCCGUUUAAUACACAUUAUACUUGGUAGGCGGGAGCAGUAGACGUUAAGACUGGACUUGACCCGAGUCCGACUUGGUAUACCUAUAUAAAAUGUUAAAUCCGAUACACCAAAUCCGUAUGUUUGAGACCUGACAAUACAUGUAUAAUAAUAUCAUUAGUACCACUAGCCUCAGUUGAAGUUUUUCGAUUGCCAAGUUGAUUGAAGAUACACGCGAGAUUAUUUCCUUAUACGCACUGUUUUUUUAUUGCUAUACAUUAUCCAAAGAUCAAAUUUAUAAAAAAUCACUGAAAUAACAAUUUUGCAGAAUCAUAAAGAAAACUGUUCGUUUCACUAAAAUACGAGUAAGAUAUGUUUUCUUCGGUCUAUACAAAUGAUCAGAUUUUAUACGUUAAAAAAUAUUGAUUUUUGCUUGACGGUUAGGUUUAUUUCAACAUUUUUCAAAAUUCUCAAUAUUUUAUUUAAAAAUUUUUACUUUUUUAUUUGUUUUAUUUUUUUUUAUUAUUAUUUUACAUACAUAUUUUAGGCGAGUGAUAAAAUCCUCAGAGUUUUUCACGCGGUAGCUUAUUUAAUUAUGCAGAAUUUGCGCUCAGUAAUAUUUUAAUUAAAGUUACCAAUAAUUCAUCUCUGUAGUUUUUGAAUUUAUUUUCUAUAGGACUACACCUUUUCUGUUAGAUAUUAAAAAUGAACCAAAUUAUUCGCACGGUAAUUAAAAAGAUACGGAUUUUUCAACUGAUGGUAAAUUAUAUUCGAAUAAAAUGUCUAGAUAACCCCAACAGUUUUUCAGAGCUCAAAUUUUUUCCUGAAGAAUUAAAGUAAUUUGAAGUCAUUUGAAGUCAUUUAAGGUUUAGGCACUAUUAACAGUCUUCGAUUCGAGCUUUUCGCGAUACACGAAAUAUUAUAAUAAUCAUUUUGUGUUGUUCACGAUGCAUUCCGGUUUUCGACGGUGGUAUAUGAAACAACAUAAAUUAUACGCUCUGAUAAUAUAAUAUAACAUUGAUAAACGGUUUAUUUUGAGGCCGAGAGCCUCUUUAAUAAUUUAUUGGUAUACAAGACGAAUGGAAAGCGAACGCGACAAAACGCCGAUCGGUCGAAUCGCAAUAUUUUGUAUUUUUACCCGACACUCGACAGAUUGAAAAAAAAAAAAAAAAAACCUCAAUUAUUAUCAAGUACUUCGCGUUCCCGGAAUCGUGACUCGUAAAUUGACGGCCGGGUAUAAUAUUGCAAUAUCUGCACGCGCGGCCCCGUUGGGCAUACCUACACCGGAACACCGUGCGAAGAUUAUUAAACUCACUAUGUAUAUAUAAUGUUAUUAUCGCGUUUAUAAACAUAAUAAUAAUGUUCGGGUUCGUGGUUUUUCAAUAAACGCACGCCGACAUUGUGUCGACGAUAAUUUAUGAUGUGAUCGCCCGUAAAACCCGCACCGUCCAAGCCGUCGCAGAAUAUUUCGUUUUGGCGAAUUCUUAUAUGGAAACCAUAGCCGACUGCAAUUUAGUUAGGUGUACGGAACGAACGUGGCACCGGUGUAGGUUAGGUUAUCGAUAAAACGAACAUUUUACACGGAUUUAUGUUUCUAGCAUCUAUGUAACACCUUUAACAUGUAUAGGUGCGCCAAGUGGAUAGGGCCGCUGGGGGUGUCUUAAAACAAUCCGACACCAAAAUAGUAAAACUGCCUAUCGUUUCUUGUUUUCAAUGUACGAAUUAGUUUUACUAUGAUGUGUGGUUUUUUUAUGUAUAUAUUUUAACUACUUUUCAGCCAGAAAUCUUGCUACAAUCGAAAACUUUAUAGAAACUUUCUUGAAUCUAUAAGGCGAUUUUAUUAUUUAUUUGGUAGUUUUCUUAAUAAAUUGUAAAACUGGUAAUUUGUUUUGUAAUUUUGAUUAUUGAAUUCUAGGUUGCUUUGGCAACAAGGGAAUAAAUUUGACUCUUAAAAAUUGUUAAGAAUCGUUUUUUGAUAGCAACAGUUUAUGGUUGUGUAUAAAUGUAAAUUAAAGUUAGCCUUAAAGAAAAUAUCUCUCUUCAAACUUCCCUCCUAAAACAGUAAUACGAUCAUCAGCGAUAUUAGCCUUAUUCUGUUUUCAACAUAAAAUAAUUUAUGCGCACAACAGUUAGACAAGACAAGCCAAAAACACACUAGUACCGAAACAAGUUCAUAAUAAUGCUCAUUGUCCAAUUAUUAUUAAAGAAAAUAUUGAUACUUCAGACAGUAACACUGAUGACUGAUAGCGUUUACAACAAAUUUGAAUUUAUUUUGUUUAUGUGUUAUCAAAGUGCUUAAUAAGCGAUAAUAUGCAUAUCUCGUUUUAAGAGAACAUAAAUCCGGACUAUACUGACAAAGUGCUAACCAAAAAUACGUUAUAUUUACAAUUUAAAUUAUCUUAUAAAAUGUACCAAUUAAAUAUAAACACAAUUGUUUUAAAUUCUCAGCGUGUAUCGAAGAAACUAUUCAUUUUGUUAAGACUUUUUUUUUUUUUUUCGUAAAAAAUUGUUUAUUUUGAUAAACAAUUUUCGAUUUUCCUCAUAACGAUACCGAAAAAUAUACGGAUUCACUGAUGACAUUUUUUUCAAAAACAUUUUUAACACUUUUUGCUAAAACUUCGAAAACAGGGCCGUGAUUUCGCUACGAAUUUUCUAUAGUAAUAAAAAGAGACGAUGCCAACUUGACGGACAUUAUUUUUCUUUUACUAUGAUAUCAGAUUACCAACAAAUGUAUGAACGGUUGUUUACGUUACGCGGUUCGGGGCUGAGCGACGGAAGUGUUUUCGUGUAUAUUAUUGUGUUAUCAUCGCACCACCGUGCCAAUCGUCCGCGCGAUUUUACACACGGCCGUCACGUCCUGUCAACGGCGAUCCGAUUGAUGUUAUAUUUUGUUUAUUUUUGUUGCCGCACAAAUAACAUAAAAUAGACGAGCGCCGCCGAAAAGCAUUUUUAUAGUCGAGCCAAUAAUUAUAUUACGAGACCGGGCUCUGACGAAAACCCAAACAGUCGCCGUCGAUGUUUCCGGCCGUGUUGGUUUUGGAAUGAAGUUCCGUCAGUGAACAUACAGUUUUGUAACGAAAAAGACCGCCGCGUUAAAUAAUAACAAAUACACUGACGACGAAAUUAUAGGAGAGGACAUGAUGGGUAAAGAAAAACGCCCGCGGUAAAAUAAUAUUGUCGUGUUAAACCGUACGUGGCGAUUGUGACUUGUGGGUUUAGGACUAAUAUUUUUUCAAUCGGCUCUAUUUACAAUUAUCGCAAACCAAAAACAAUAGAUUCGGCCUUUGCAGUGUGCCAAAAAACCUCAAACCCGUACGCCGAAAGACUGACGACCGUCGUGAAAGACAACAGCUAGUGUCGAUAUUAUUAUCAUUUAUAGUACAUCGUCGUAGGGUUAGGUUAGGUUAGAUGAAAUUUGGUGAAAAGGAUGAAAUUUCGCCUCGUUAAUGUUUACGAAUAACAAAGUUCAGUUUUCUAUGUUUUAUACGUACGGAGAGAAUAAUUUUUCAGGUUCUGUAUACAGUUAGUGAACGGCGGAUGAACAUUAAAGAUACUGGUUAAGGUUGUUGAUUUUUUUUUCUCCCAAAACACUUUUUCGAUAUGUAAAAAUUCUCCCAAACACGUCGUAACUUAGAAAAUUCACAUUUUGCGGUUUAUUGUUAUUUAUUUAAACGAUCUCCGACGGUAUUGAAAAAAAAAAAAAAUUAAAAUAAUAUAUUUAGGGUUACUAAUAGCUCCUUCGCUGUACCCUCGGAAUCUUUAUUAUGUAGUCGUCAAUAAUAAUACUGCUGGGCUUGCGUGAACGGAGAGUUCGGAUCAUAUAACUUUUUAUGACUGAAAUCAUUUUAAAAACGAUUCUUUUAUACACACAUUGGACGGAUAAAAAUGAUAAUGCAUAAUAUACGUAUACAGGGUGAUCAGUUUAUCAUAAGCCAACGAUUUUCUUGAAGGAUUUUAAGUGUUUUUAAAAAUAAUUAUGAAAUCGUUAAGGUUUUAUUUUAAUAAUAUUUUUAAUUUAUUACAACUACCCCUUGUGUUUAAAAUGAGUAUAGAACAACAGUACGUGUUAUAACAGUUUAAAGUUUAGACCGAAGGAGUAGGGAAGGCGUAGGAAUUUAUUAUCUAAAAAUAGAUAAUAGAGAAAUGUUUAAUUCUUCUCUACUUCUCUGGUAUGAAUUUAACAGUUAUAAUUAAUAUAAACGGUAAAUCUGUCACAAACGGUAAAUCUGAUAAUAAUGUUGUGUCUAUCAAAAUUUGUAUAAAAAUGUCCUCUAUAUUUAAAACUGUGUUUAAACUGAGUUGUUAAUUUAAAAUCUAAAGUGUAUCAGGUUUAUGGAGUAGAGGUAAAAAAUUCAAAACAGUUAAUUUUAAAAUAACAAUUAAACGGUUCAAUAAUAAUUAGUAAAAAAAAAAAAAAAACAGAAAUCAAAUUAACUUAAAAUCAUUCGAGAAAAUGUCUGGUGGUUCAUGAUAAAUAAACACACUGUAUUUAUUGUGUAGAACGUUCAACUGGGCGGCUGAUAAUAACAUACGCCCGGUCACCGCCAAACAAUGUUUAUCGUCGAAUUCUCUGCUGUUUACUACGGUGUAAAACACACACGUUAAUUUACGCGUUUUGUUCGUAAACAAAACGUCAGCAACCGGCGAUUUUCGUGGGUUUAUAUUAUUCCGGUCAGUCUUAUCGAAAACAUCUGAAAUAUAAUAUUAUAUGUGCUACCAUCAUCGGGUAACCGUCGGAACGGUCGAAUUAUUGCACUACUCGCCUAAAUUAAACGGUCGGACCGCACUCUGGUGAAAGACAAGUCGAAGAAGAUUCGAGGAAAAAAUUUUCGAAAACAUUUGUUUUCCACAUACAGGCGUAUAGGAAUAACAGUUAUUUCAAUCAUUUGCACGGUUAAAAAUAAGUUUUUUUAUGGGAUACGGGAAAUUAUUAAUGUUUUCAAACCGUUGGAAGUUUGGUUGUCAAUCAUUUUUUUUUCGUUGAAAUACCUUUCUUGACCCGAGUGCAAUUCGACCGUUACCUUUUCUUUUCUUCUUUUUUCUAACCAGAAUGCAAUUCGACCCGUUUAGCCGUAGCCGUCACCCAAAAACGUUCUCGGGGUGGAAUUUAUAAUCGUGGGUAGUAAAUAAAGACGCGAGCACCGCCGCCGUACACAAUAAUAGAUACGCGUUUUUAUGCGACGUUAUUUAUAACAAUGCCGACAAGAAAAAAAAAAUCAACAAACGUCUCCCGCCGAGUGUUUAAACGCGCUCAGCUCUUUCCGAGCGUCGUCGUGUACGCGCGUCGCCCGUAAAAACGACUAAAAAUAAACACGUGCCGCUCUCUGGGGUUAUACUCUCGGCGGAGGCGACGGGCCCGGGGAGAUUAGAUAUAAUACACCGUUAUGUGCUCGCAUUACGAUAAUAAUAAUAAAUUACAGUCGUGCGUGUGUGUCAGGAACACAAUAUAAUAUUGACGAUUCAUUAUAUUGAUGUCGUGGUCUUAAAAAACGGAGUGCCGCAGACGAAUUCCGGUGAUUCUCGACAAACACGUAAAAUAUACGUUUACGUAAGUUUUAGUAGGUUUAUAGCUAAUAUACGCAUCGUGUUGACAGUCGACCCGUAAAAAUAUGGCGCGAUGAAUUUUUUCGAGGACGCGUGGUGUCAAUAUACGUACACGGGGGCUUGAGCGCCCGUCGAAAUAGCGCGUUUAGAGCGCAAAGCACUCGUUAGACAUCGAAAAUAAUACGGAUAUAUAAAUGCACAGUGUAUAAACUAAACAUAUUUAAUCAUGAAGUGCUUUGGAAAAUUCGGCAUAAUAUUGUGAUAAGAUCGUAAAUCGAUAAGGUACAUUUUCAAUGUUUGUCGACUGUCGUUACCACUGCGGCCUUCGCCUGUUCUGCGGUUGUAGUUACUUACAGCGGCGCAACUAGAAUUUUCGAGCACCGAUGAACAUUUAAGUCUGGUGCCUUAAAUUUAAUACCCACGCGAUUUAUAGUAAUUUUAUGUCUAAGAGAGAUUGAUCUUUUCAUAACCUGGCACCUAUAAUGAUAUUGCGUGAUAAAAACGCCAACGCCAUUUCACGUGAAACAAACGAUAAAGGCAUUUUAAGGCGGUUUCAGAGUUGCGGUGAAUUAACAGAAGACGGCUAUAAUUACGAGACAAUAACCUCAAUGUAGGUUUUGGGAAAUCAUUUUGAAAAUCUCGGACGUGGAUAGCACCACGGGUAACCAAAUGCUGUAGGAAGUAUAUUAGGAUAUAGGAUAGGUUGAAUAGGAUUAGCUUAUAAUUAUAAUACGUAAUAGUCUAUUAUUAUGCUAAGUCUGGAAGGACCGAAAAAUCAUUGUAAUCUAAAAACGACAUGACAUGAUUAAGUACAUAACUUGUAAUGACGAUGCUGGACUAGCUAUAAAAAUGACCUGUUAAUAUUGAUUUGCUACUUAUUUCAAUAUAUUUUUCGUUUUUACCGACAAACUUUCGUAAAAAUUGUCUACAAAACGGAAUCCCUUUGUCGUUCUAAUAAUGAUAUAUGUGUCGGACGUCACGUUCCUACAAUAGUUCUUCAAAACUUUGAUAAAAACACAAUAAAAAUAAUUUUAACCACGACCAUAACUUUUUUCGUAUCCAACGUAAAACCGCGAAAUACCCGUCGGACGGUCGUUUCUUACGUAUAAUCGUGUGAUGGACGCGCGCAUUACCUAUACCGACUGCAACGGGACACGACACUCGCCGCCAAACUUUUCUUCGAUUAUUAUUUCCUCGCCAAAAACAAAAGUCCGCCUUUCCAUUACAUUAUUGUAUAGUGUACACUGUCACUUUGCGUUAGGAGGACCCUAUCUCGUUUCGAGUCCCGUCUCCCUUCGGACGCCGCUGUGCCCGUCCCCGACGACGUCAUAUCAUAUUUUAUUUUCGUCGCCGUUGUCACGUUCAAUUUUCAACUCGUGCACCGCCGUGCCCUCUCCUCCUCUGUCCAGCGCCACACACAUUAUAUAUACUUACUAUACCGAUUUCCACGGACGUAUGUUUUCCGUUCGUUCGUCUUUAUCAAUCGGUCGCCGGCUUUACUAAUAAUCCCCCGACACGUCCGACGGUGCGAGAAGGGCUCGUCCGUCUGUCAAAACGAAACAUUAAUCCGUUCGCACCGAAUAAAAUAAAAGUCGAUUUCUUUUCCCCGCGGUAAUUCAUCCAUGCGUAACACCGCCAGUGACAUUUUCGACGAGAAAGGACACAAGUUAAUUUUCGUCAUUUUUUCCCUCCCUGCGUUAAUUUUGCGUGACGUUUUAUACACGAUCGAAUGUGUUCGCCCAUUGGUAUUCAUGCACACACUUUUGCAGUUGUCAGUUGUCACAAAUCCCAAGCAGUUUAUUAUCGUUUGGUCAUCACAAGUCAAAAACAGUAGUUUUUAAUAAACGAACUGUCGAACGCGUAUGCGAAAAGGCUCAAUAAGUCAUACUUUUCUUUUAAAUAAAACGAGCAGUAAGACACAAUCAAUUAUGUAAAAAAUGGCCCAAGUAAUAGAUACCUACUUAAAUUUUUAUUUCUAGAGCAGUAGGGCAAAUGUUAUCUUAAUUCGGUAAUCUAUAACAGUGUCAUUAAAAUAAUUAUGGAAAGUUAAAAAAACGUGUAAACUAAUAAAUAAAACAAGUGUUUCAAAAAAAAAAACAAAACAAAAAAUUGAUAUGUUUUUUGUGUCUCUUGGAAAGUGGUCAAAAGUGGACAUAUUCUAACGAUAACUUUCCAAAUAUUAUCUAAAAAAUGUUUGUAACAAUGACACCUACACAAAAAAGUAUAUAGAGAAUGAUUAAAAUUAUUUCCGAUAUUUAUUUAUUGAAUAUUUCACGCCCGCGGUUGGGGCAAGAGUACUAUAUAACAGUAUACAUACUAUUUGCGUACAAACAGAUAAAUUAAAUACAAAAUCACAUUAAGGGCGCAUUGUUUUAAUUUAAAGAAACUAUAAUUUUUUUAAAACGUGUCAGGAUUUCAAGAUCCGAUAAGGGGCUACUUGGAUAUUAAUAACUAAGAUAUUAAUUUUAUUAUAAUAAUAACUAUAAUAUGUCAUGGUGAUAAUAAUAAAUAGACUGGCAGUUAAAAUAACCGUUGAGACCAACGUGCAACGGCCCGAGCCAAUGAAUUAGGCAACCGGGAUUUUUGCUGACGUCCCUAAGCGAAAGUCGUUUCCGACAACUUUUUUUUCUUCGUUUUCACGUCGAUUUUCCGGGAUGACGGGUAACAUAUUGCAGCGGGUAUUGUUUUAAAAAGUGAUCUAAACGUUUCGCAAAACGACACGGUCGGGAUAUAAUUUCGAGUAACGACAAAUCACCAAUAUUUUACUGUUGUUACGUAUAUAUAUAGAAUGUACUAUUAAACGGUCGAAGUUAAACUAUUGGCGAAAACAAUAUCGCGAAACGUAGGCGCAUUUAAACUUUUAGACCCGACAAUAACGUGUAAUAACAUUUUCUACUGCAAUAACGACGUUGCGGACUAAGAAACAAAUUAUACGACUCCGUGCUAAACUUAUAAACUAUACUAAAUGUCUACAUCAUAUUAAACAAUACGACAGACGAAAUAAUCGCAAAUUUUUAAUACUUUUGAUAUUUUUUCCAUUCAAACCCAAAUCCACGAUAACACCGAUUAAUAAAAGUGUUCAAAUGAUUGCGUUCCUUAUUAUAUAGUUCACUUUCGUCGGCUCUCCGAACGCGGCAAAAUUUGGUCUGUUAUUACACCGAUUCUGCAGCAGGUCCAAAAACAACAAAAUAAAAUAACUGCGAACCGCAGAUCUCCGUCACUAGUGUCGAAUUUCUCUCCAGCGGAUUCGUCAACCGUUACAAUAUUGAAUUUUUUUUUAUAUAUAUAAAUAUAAUAUAAUUAUUUAAAAUAACUAUAGUUACCGGAAUCGUAUUACAUUUUAGUCUGUAGAAUUAUUUAAAACCAGAUAUAUCUUAUUAAAACGUGAAAUUUGAAGGUCGGAGAGAAAAGAUUGAAAGUUAAAACCCCCCAAAUCACGUUCUUAAUACUUGCAACAUGCAUAUACAAAAUUACAUUAACCUGGCUUCAUUUAGGGAGGUUUGGAGGGAUAUACGAGAUUAAAAAAUAUUCUCCUCUCGCAAUAAGAUGGUGAAAUUCAUUCAAAAUUGUAUCAAAAUUCGAUUGCAAGACGUUGGAACUUAAUCGCGCAAAAUAUAGCGGACGUUGAGUGGAGAGCGACCUGCAGCAAUACUGAUGUAUAAGAAAGAUUUAAGAUUCACCGGUCACAAAAAUCAUACAGAACAGAUAAACGCUCGACAAACGUUUAAUGAUUCAAAAAAUGAGUAUGCGAUUUUCAUACGAAUUACUCCAUUGCAUAAAAACACGUUAUUAAGUAUAUGGUUUAUCGAAAUUAAUAAUGAUAUUAUAGCCGUCUGAGUGUGUCCGGCUGUCUGUCGUACUCGGUCUCUACAUUAUCAUCAUAUACUUAUAUAUAAUAUAUUUUAGACGACAAUUUACUGCACCGGCGACCGUUUUGCAUAUUUAUUAUAAGUGCAUCACAAUAAUAAUAUAUCCCGGCGGGUGUUCGUAUAAUAUUUUAUUACGAACACGUUGUCGUGUAUACAAGAACAACCGGUAUGUAUUUAUUUAUUUUUUUUUUUUUUCCAUAGGUACGUAAAUGUCGUAUUACAAACAGAUGACAGUAUAUUAGUAAAGUAGGUACUGUAUUAUUAUAGUUUCGGGUACAGCGUCGAAAAUUCGAAAACCAUAUGGUGAAAACCGCCGUCGUCUCGCGCGCGUCGACGGUAAAAUAAUAUAUAAAUUUAAAUACUCGGCUCGUAUGCUUAGUAUAAAGAGAUUGUUUACAUUUUUUUUUUCUCCCCGGAGUUACUAUAAUAACACGUUAUUCACGCGCGUCGAACACCGCCACUCCGAGAAUAUUCUCUCGCCCGGUACACCCUGUAUAUUAUUAUAUAAUAAUGCUAUACAGUAACCCGGCAACGUCGUUAUAUGUAAAAAAAAAAAAAAAAAAUCGUCGCGGUAUGACGGCGUACCUAUAACGUUAUUUAUGACAGUAUAAUUGACGCGAAGAAUAACACGGUUUUUCAUUUCUUUUCUCAAUCGGCCGAUAUAAUGACAUUACACAACAAUGACGUCCACACACGCAAGUCUAACCCCACGCGGUGGCACGAAAUGACAUCACUUUUUCCUUAGCUGUCGCAGGCCGUGCGGGAUCUUUGCCGGUUCUACACCGAACUCGUCCGUAGGUCUGCUCUGUUUUCUGCAUUUUAGAUUCUAAAUGAGUUUAUUUUUUUUAUAUUUCGUAUCUGUGCGCAACUUUUCUACCGGAAAACUUAAUCGAAUUUCUACGCGUAGCACCUUUUCUGAAAGAAAAUCGACGAGAGGCGCUGAUUUUCUCAAGAGUUUCUUCGUCAAAUUUGAAAAACCGAUAAAAAAAAAAAAACGAGGAAAUAUACGAGAGGUAGGCAUUAGUUAAAAAAUAUGUCGGCCUUUUUUUCCGGUAAACAACUUUUCUACAAGCAAUUUGACUUCGAUUUACAAUGAUAAUACUUUUUCUGAAUGGAAAUCUAGGAGAAGAAUGGAGCACUUAAGAACGCCGUGCGCCGUGGCGUCACAAAAAUUAUACUCCAAUACUCUCCUCUACCUAAACUUAAGAGAAUAUCUCGCUAACUGGUUAACAGAAAUCAAAAAUGUCACUUUUAUUUUCUCGGUUUUCAGAGCGAAAUUCAAAAACAAUUCAGAACAAAACACCGCACCAUAAUUAAGUGUUCAUUCGCAAAUCAAUUUUGCGACACUUCAAUUUCAUUUAUAUGUACUGCAUAUUAAUAAUCUGAUGACAUUUUAAAUAGGUACCUACGUUAUAUCAUUAAAAAUAUUACCUGGAGUCUUGUCCGUCAUAGGUGAAGUUUUGUGAAUCGGUCGAAGAUACACGUAAAUUAUAUUGACUUAUAUUAAUAAUUUGUCUAAUCUAACGAAUAAAAUUAGUAAAACUUGAGGAAAAAUAAAAGUUAUUAAGAUCGAAAACACAUUAGACAAGGACCGGUCGCAUGCAUCAUUUUUCAUCAAAACAAAAUAAUAAUUACAAUUAUUGAGAUAACAAAGUAACACAGAUACUGUUGAUAAAAGACAACGGUGUCGUCACCAUAGAGAUUAUUAAUGUACGACCACAGAUAUAAAUAAUAAACUAGAUACAUCCAGGAUUUAUUUUUUCCUGGUUGGCUCCUUCAAUAAGAAAUCCUUAGUAGAGUACUUAUAUCGGUGCUUGAAUUAAAAAGGACACAAAGGCGCCUCUAUUAUUUUUAUUUUUUUUUGGUUUAGCGUCCCCUUACAAAUUAUUUCUACUGGUACGGAGAUUAAAUAAUUAUAUUUUCAACAAAUAUUUUUUGUCCUAUCAUCAACUCAAAUAAUUUAUAUAAUUUUUUAAAUUCUGUGUGGAGCUAAGAAGCCUAUGGUUUUACAAUGAUGUUUAUUUUUUUACUAGAAUUUUUUUCCAGUUUACAAAAAACUUUUUCUAAAAAGAAAUCUAACUGUGAAGGUACUUUAGGGAGGUCAGUUUUCGAUUUUCUUAAGAGUUUCUCAGCAAAUGUGAAAAACUGGGAAAAAACAUGACUAUCAAUUAAACUCUACUCAGAUUCGUUUUUUCGUUAGCAAUGAUUAAUCGUUGCUUACAGAUAUACAUUAAACUCCUGUCUAUAUUCUACCUUCCCAACUUCCCAUUUAAAACAGUUUCACACCCUUCCCAUUAUCCUAGGACAAUUUUUUUAUUCUUUUUGUUUCAUUUUCCCGGAUUUAAAUCUCUUUUUACUCGAUCCAGCCAUCGUCACGAUCUUCCACUGGGACGUGUUUUGUUCGGAUUAGCAACCAGGCCCAGAUUAAUACUAGUGCAGACGGUGCACGUGGACUUGGCCCUCCAUGUCCCCAUUUUUUUUUUAAUAUUAAAGAAUUCAUAUUUCUAUGAGAUAAAACUAAGUUACACAAAAGAAAUAUAAUUCUCAGGUUGAGGAACACUGUUUUAGAGAACGAUAUAUACGAUUUAAAACUUUUACGUAAACAGAAUCAUAAACGUACCCUCGGCAAAAUGUCUUUGGCAGUUUGGCGUUAAAAUGCGAUUUGCUCGACUUUUUUCAAACUUCAUAAUGGUAUAAAAUAUUAUGUACGGGUCGUCGACAACGUGGGGCUUUUUAGUCGUUGUUAUAUUAUAAUAAUAUAUCUCUCUUUUACAAAUCCUCUUCAAAACGAAUACAUCACGUGAUAUUAUACGGCGCCGGCCGUGUGUCAGUAUAAUAACCAGCACACAACACGUCGCAUUAAGAAAAUAAAAACGUAUAAAAAGAAUAAAGACGUUCAAAUCGAAAUUUAACGACCGUGUUAGUGUUCCCUCUAGGACUCGCUGUAGAUUCAAUUGCGUAUGCAAUAUUUAUUAUUAUUGUUAUGGAUAUUAUUACAAAAUAAUAUUAAACCGAGUUCCCGUGACUCGUGUCUUCACAAUUCGCGGAUACUCGCUAUCAGUGGGAUGGCGAUGAGGUUUUCAAUACGUCUAAAAGCGUCAUGAUUGGAAUAUCAUUGUAGACAGGUAAAAAAAAAAAAAAACGUCAGCAAUAGAUAUUUGAUAUUUGUAUUUUAGUAAACUAUCAAGUAGUCUUGUAGACAAAAGUGUUGAAGAUUUUCCACUAGACGGUCCUUAGAUUUCUAUUAUUAACCAAUAAACCAAAAAUACCUAAAUCUCAAAUGUCAAAUUUAAACCUAAUUCGGUGCCCAAUCUUUUACCACUAUAGGUGCAUGGUGUGUAUAAUGAUGGUUGAGGAUUAGACUUGGACACUUUUCUACGAUUGACUUAAAAAUAUAUGUUUAAGCGAAUAACAGCGAAACAGCUUACAAGGGAGUAGAUAUUUUAUGAAGGGGCUGCGGAGGGUACUGAAAUAUAUAUUGCGGUUACAACAAUAAAUGUUGUAUAUUGUUCAUAAAUGUCCGUAACUUCUCGCUAUAAGCUUUGGUACAGUGUUUAGUGUGCAUAAUAAACGAAUAUUCGGUAUUCGAUAUUCGACACUUUCCCGCGGAUUGUCGGUAAAGUUGACACGAGUCAAAGAAAAUGUCUGCACCAGAAUAGAUGUUCGUCGGUUCAUUCCCACGACGCGAUAAUUAUUUGCCCUUUGGCUAUCUGAGAUUCUUAUCUCUCGGCAAGACCAGACCAUCAAUCAGCAAAUAAUAUAUACAUAUAUUGUGAUAAUGUACAAUAUUGGGAUUCUGUCUGUGUUUGUCUGCUAUACAAAUCUACAGUUAUUUAUUCCGAUCUUGAUGAAACUUUACACACUUGACAUUUGAAACAAGCGGAAGGUUACUGUUUACUUUUUAUCUCAAAAUUCAACCCCUAAAGGAUAGUUGACAUGGGGUUUGUGGUAUUUUUGGAACGAAAAUUGAAUUUAGUUGGUUGAUUUAUAGGUUACUAUACAGCGAUACAGAUGAAGAAAACCGUUGUUAUUAUUUAAUUUGGGUGUCACAGACAAGGAAGUACCCUUUUCAAAAGAUAAAUUGCUGGGCAACAACGAUUAACUGUGAUAGAUACAAGGGUGGAAACGGGAAACACGUUAAAUUGAAUUUCUUAUAUUGAUUUCUGUUUUUUUGAAAAGACUGCGCAUGGGAAAUACAGGGUAAUUCGGCUAGUAUAAUAUCUCUCCGUUCGUGUGUAUCAACACAAUGAUUUUUUUAUGUUCUUAAUAUUUUACGACGCAAAAAAUCGUAAACUGAGACCCCUCGUUUGUACAUUUUGCAGUAUACAUGCAGACGUGGCCUAAUUGUUGCGCACAAUUCCAACAGAGAUUCUCACGUAUCGUAAAAAAACGCGAUUUUCACAUUUAUUACUAUGCCUGGCCAACAGCAACUAAAAGGCUAAAUAGCAAAAUUACGUUACUUAGAAUAAAUUAAAUUGUCGCGUUAAGGUUGAAAUUUUAGUUAAAUGCAUAUAAACGUACGUAUUCCCACCUCCUUCCUCCCAUUCAACACAUUAUAUGUAACACAAUUUAAACAGGAGAAUAAUUCGUGGACUGCACGUAGCAUUUUCUUAAAAAAAAUUACGGCCAUAUUAGUUUUGCUUUUUUCAAAUACGAGUAAUAUCUGUAACAUUUUUGAUGAUAGUAUUUUAGGAAAACUACGUAAAGCCCACGAAAAUAUUUUGCUCUUGGAAUGUUUUUAUAUGCAAUAAAAUAUUAAAGUAAAAACAAAAUUAUUAAAAUGGUUAAUACUCGUAAAUAAAUAUAUAAAUAAAAAAUGUAUAAAUGCGUCACCUGGAGUAUUAUGAUAAGUGCAUUAUACGACCGGUUUCGAAUUAAAAAUUCAACAUUAAGGAUAUCACGUUUUUAUGUGUGUUUAAACUCCAAGUUAAAUUUUCAUAUGUUCUAAUAAUAUUGUAAUUUUGCUACAUCACCCGUUAAUUACACUAAGAUAGUAAAUCCGGGUACCUUCUCAAUGCACCGACUAGACAGGAUUUGCUUUUAGAAAAGUUGUUCACAGACAGAAAAAAAUCACACAUCAUAUUCAAACCACAAUAUUCACCGCUACGCUUUGAACAUCAAAUACUAGAUUGUAAAUGGAUCGACCGUUUAUCAGACUUAAAGAUUAAAACAUGAUCUGUGUCGCGUCGACGGUUUUUUUUAAAUGUAAUUUUAAUUUUGAAGCGUAAACACUAUAAGCUAUAAACUAUACUAUACCUAUAAGCAUUUUUAAAUCCUGAUACUUCACACACUCAUUUAAAAAUUUUAAUUACGGACAAAAAUGACGACGCGACACAGAUCAUGUUCUUCUUCUAAUCUUUAAUUUCACAAUAGGUUCACUCACUCUAAUAUUAACAUCAACGUCAAUACAUUAUAGAGUUGUUUCCGUUGUACGUGAAUUUGUUACAUCGCGCGGUUGUGUGACGGAGGCAGCGCAUGCGGAUAUGGCGCCCGAUAUAAUAUAAACGGUUUUUUUUUUUUUUUUUUAAGCUGAUUUCACCUUUAUCCCACACUAAAAUCUUAUAUUUCUGACCCGUCCACAUCUCCAUACCGCCAUCAAAAUUCAUCUAAUUUGCAAACGGCCGUUAUACUGUCUCGUCCUCUAUGACUAUACUGCAAUAUAAUAUAAUAAUAAUUUUUGACUAUUAUAAGACGUAUCAUCGUUUCUCCUUCUCUCUUCGGGGCAGGUCCAUGCCUACAUACGAUCAACUUAGUUUUGAGUGAUCGGGCGAGUUUUCGAAUCUUUAUUGUGAUUGCUAGUAGUAUUUUGUCAAGCGCGCGGCGGUCCCUCGUAUACGGUGUGUAAUAAUAUUAAUAAUACUAAUACUAUGUAUGUAUAUAUAUAUAUACGUUAUAACCGAACGUAUACAUUAUUAUUUUCCGUAUACACGCCCAAGACAAACACUACAGCACUCCUCGGGAGGGAACCCUCGGAUGAUUUAUUACGCGUUUUUCGGCCCCAAAGUAUACAAUAACCACGCAACGUUAUCUUCCGAUCGACUCGGACACGAGUUCUCCAGCAUGUUACACGAUAAACGCCAGCAGCGUUUUUAAUGCGUCGUAAAUAUGACAUCGAUCACUAGAUUUAGUACCUAAUAUAGUGUAAACGGCAGUCGAAAAGCGCACACUCGACAAGUAUUUUUUUUUUCUUUUUAUAUGCUAUUAUAUCUGUAGUGGCCGCCGUGGGUGGCCUAUAACUAUAAUAUUAUAGUGUAACUAGCAGAAUCUCGGGUGAAACAAAAAUAGUUGCGGAUUUUGUUUUUUUCUAAUAACAAUUUCGUAUGCGACCGUGACAUAUAUUAUCAUAAAAUAUUCAUCGACGUAAAAUACGAUGUCGGUCGAAUUGAAUCCUUAGAUCAUAUACUACGGAUGUAGACACAGCGAAUUGUUUCGCUGCCGAUAUCGGCCACAUUAUUUCGUAUUGAUUUGUACGCUGCGGCUCCGUGGUGUAUGAUCCGAGAUUGAAUCCGGAAAUUUCGACUAGCGGGUACCUUAAAACCGUUAUCUAGCACCGUAACACCAAUAAUCACUGGGAAAUAUAGCCGUCACACUUACGGCCGUUUUUCGGGGAAUUUAAUUCAGCAAAAUAUUGCCAUGAUGGCCUCUUAUCAUAUCGGACCGACUGUGAUAAUAUUUUGAAAUUUAAAUUGUGCACGCGACCGAAAUCACGUUGCGUCUUGUACAUUCCAAGUGUGGCUGUAUGAUAAUUUCGAACGAGUCCGCUCUUCGAACCGUGUCAUUACGGGAAACCGAAAAUCGGCGCGUAAAUAUUCGGGCCAUUAUAAUGUUUAAAACGCAAUCAUAUUAUCAUAUUAUACGACACGUGCGAGACGAUUAAAUCGGCUCGGCGCCAGAAACAAUGGCCCGAUUGGGGAAUUAUGUUUAAACGUAUAAUUAUUUAUAUCUACGGCUCGAAUAUAUUGUAUUCUUUAUUGUAGCUGCACGCGGUAGAGCUCGUGUCAGAUCGAGACGAUUAGAUCUGGGUCCGGCGGUGUUCGAUUGGCCGAAAACGACGCAAAAUCGAAUUUACAUAUAUAUAUACACAUUAUAUAUAGAUAAUGAAAAAUGCUUAUGCGUUGUAAACCGCCCGACGGUGACAGUGUUACAGGGUCGUGAUUUCAAUUUGUUUUAUUGUUGGUGACGAAAUUUUUGCGGGCCAUUUCAAAUCAUUACCAGGCCACAAUUAUGGGCACCUUUUUUUGGGGGGGGGAGGGGCGGUCAAGGGGGGACAUUCCCGCUCUGUCAUCUUCUUUUUCGCCUUCGCUGCCAAUUGUGUGUGGUCGGCCACCAUUUUCAUACACCUCCACGGUAACCUAAAUACUAACUCUAUAUAUAAUAUUAUAAAACACUUGGGUGCAUCGGCGAUUAUAUUUUAUUUUUGGCACGCUAAAUAAGACGUUUUGAAAACAGUUUGUGCGAAUGCACACCCUGCAACCCCCCUCCCCCAAAUGACGCACCUACAGUGUUAUAAACCGGAAUUUAGAUUUUCGUUUAACGUAUGUACCGAAACAUACAGCAGAUACCUACCGAACAACAAUAGGGCGUAGGGGAAAAUUAGACGAGUACACCGCACGCAUUAGCUCGAUAAAACAAAACUCACACCUGCUCGUUACAUUAUACGAACACGUGAAAGCUUCGAGUAUGGAAAUAAAUCGAAAUAAUAUGUACUCAUAUAUUAUAGUUGGUAUAAUAUGCGUUUACAUCUAAAAGUCAAACACAAUAUUAAUCUACAUGUGUAUAAUUUUUUUUUUUUAAUAACACUGUAGUGAUGUGUUUACACUUUCUUAUUUUCGAAAAAAUGCGCAAUCUGUUUAAACAGACCGAGACGUACGGUGUAAAUACUCGUCCAGGUUAAUUAUGUGUCGGUACGCAGUAUUAUAGGUAUGUACGGUUUAUCGAUUCGUUAUGGAGUAUAAUAAAAAAAAGCUCGCUCGAUAAUAGUACCUAAUGAACUCAUUAUAAAAUACGAAUAAAUAUUUAGAAACUGUAUAUUAUAAUGUAUAAUGCGUAUUAUAAUCACUUCGACACGUGCAUAUACGUACACUAUACAUUAUAUAUUAUGCACCUACCAGAACACGACUGUUCGGCUUUAUUUAUAUUCUGCAGGUUUUAACUCUUAAUCAAACGAUUGAAAAGUAAUAGGUCUAUAAAUCAGUAAAUUACCUAUAUAAUGUUUUACUUAUGUAAAGAUUAAAUAUUGUACAACAGACCUGUGGCCCAUGUGUAUUAUAACCGGCUACAAUGCAUUACGGUUUGCCUUUGAAUUAUAAUAUCAAUUCUCAUUUUAUUGAUUGAACAUUUUUUAGAAAAUAUUUCUAAUACACCUACGAACUUACAGUAUUCCACGGCACUUCGAUCAGGUUCUUCUUUUUCUCCUUCGUCUUAAUCCCAAAUAUUCGAUGUAGUCCUAAGCUUUCGGUUGUCUCGAUCCCUUGCAUUGUCCUCCCAUAUACUCGCCGUCCUCGUAUCAUUGUCAAUCGCAUAUAAUUACCUCUAUUUUGAUUACAAUUAUUCUCACUGUUUUUGAUUUUUCUCUUUUCUCUCUUUUUACUUGGACAAUUUGUGAAUCAAACAGCACUAAAAUGUUUCCGUUAUUUUUCGGAACAAAACUACUACCUACUUUUGAAUUUCAUAUAGCAAUCUUUAUUCGAACCCCGCGCACCACGCCUGUCGCACAAAAGAUAAUAUACACUACUCUCCGUCUACCCGAACUUAAAAGCGGAACGUCUCGUCAACGGGUUGACGGAAACUGAACGUUUCAACGCCAAAAUGUAUUUAAACUAAACUUAGUCUAUUUAUGCAACUUUAAAUAUAGGUUGUUGUUUGAAAUUCGAAAUUGGGUAGCGGUUUCAAUUCUCCUCCCCCUCCCAAAAAAAAAAUAAAAAUAAAGGUGACGAAAAAUAACCAAAGUGCAACACUAUACAGAGUAACUUGUUUUAUAAUAUUAUUCUGGAAGAGAAAAAAAACCAUAUCCAUAAAAGUCAACGUUUUCGUAAAUAACGUGUGUCUUGUCGAGGAUUGAUCACCAUCACCGGUGUAUUAUAGCUUCUUCGCUACACUCGGAAUGUAAAAAAUAAAAAAAAUAAAAUAAUAAUAAUAAUAAUAACCGCUGAAAAUAUGGCACACGACAACGUCGGCGUUGUGGACACACGUUAACGGAUUUUCAUAAUGUAGACGGCGUUUUCCGGACGGAUUACACGAGUCUGUAUGCACGCCGUCGCCGACAAAACCGAUUCUGUCGACAUUAACGAGUAAUCCGACCUCGUCCGCGACACGUUUGCGCUUACGUAUGUAACACACGCGCGGUGAAUAUGGUAAAACUGGUCGAUAAGUACGCGUAUAACACAACAUAUAUCUGUACGCGUUUUUUUCCCCUUUAUUUUCUCUCUCUCUCUGUUUCUAAUCGUCUGUACACCUGUCACUUUGUCCCGCUGCCGCAGAGACUUUAAUACCCGCGCGGCGGUCCGGCACUCGUCCGGCCGUCCGUUUUAUAACGCCGCACACCAUCCGGGUUGUGUUUAGGUAUUAUUAUUAUUAUUAUUAUUAUUAUUAUUACACUACUUAUCGGCGUACACGAUAAUGUGUCCGCCGCCGAUAAAUCUGACGCGGAAAUCUAAAACGCGUGUUCGGUCUGUUUGCGCUCGUUAUUCGCCCCACACACACACACACACAAGCGAUUGCAUGUUAUUUCGUAUGCAUCGUCGUCGUCGUCGGAACGCGUGAGCGUAUAAUGUCUUUUAUAGUGUAGCGCCCGGUCAUCGUAUCCGCACAACUAUAAUAUUAUAUUAUUAUGUUACAGCGGCCAAAUAUACGCGGGAUUUACAGAGCCGAAUCGAUGUGGAUGAGUACCGUCAAGACCGCCGAGUUCCGGAACAACGAAAAUCAACCACCCCCCCCAUCUCCUUCAUUCAAAUAUGCAUGGCACGUGUCCGGCAUUUAUUUAUAAAUUUAUCAAUAACAAUCUGUCUAUUACAAUUUAUCUGUUACAACACAUCCCGUUCAACAUCCCAGUUUUUUAAUAACCGUUCCACUUUUAUGUUCUAUUAACCAUCACAUAGCACAAACUACUUAAAAUAUUCCUCAAUUCCAAG